rnacentral:rRNA from 1 species
UACGGAGGAUGCGAGCGUUAUCCGGAUUUAUUGGGUUUAAAGGGUGCGUAGGCGGACGCUUAAGUCAGCGGUAAAAUUGCGGGGCUCAACCUCGUCGAGCCGUUGAAACUGGGUGCCUUGAGUGGGCGAGAAGUACGCGGAAUGCGUGGUGUAGCGGUGAAAUGCAUUGAUAUCACGCAGAACUCCGAUUGCGAAGGCAGCGUACCGGCGCCCAACUGACGCUGAAGCACGAAGGCGUGGGUAUCGAACAGG